rnacentral:rRNA from 1 species
GCAGUAGCCGCGGGAAUACGAAGGGUGCAAGCGUUAAUCGGAAUUACUGGGCGUAAAGCGUGCGUAGGCGGUUUGUUAAGUCUGUUGUGAAAUCCCCGGGCUCAACCUGGGAAUGGCAAUGGAUACUGGCAAGCUAGAGUGUGUCAGAGGAUGGUGGAAUUCCCGGUGCAGCGGUGAAAUGCGUAGAGAUCGGGAGGAACAUCAGUGGCGAAGGCGGCCAUCUGGGACAACACUGACGCUGAGGCACGAAAGCGUGGGGAGCAAACAGGAUUAGAUACCCGCGUAGUCCCUGUCUCUUAUAC